GACGAACGCUGGCGGCGUGCCUAAUACAUGCAAGUCGAACGCAGUGGGGACGGGGGAGUAAAACGUGGGUAACCUCCAAUCAGAGGGGAUAACACUUGGAAACAGGGGCUAAACAGAUAUUGACGGAUGGACUCGCGGUGAAGUAGCUAGUUGGUGAGGUAACGGAUCACCAAGGCCACGAUGCAUAGCCGACCUGAUAGGGUGAUCGGCCACACUGGGACUGAGACACGGCCCAAACUCCUACGGGAGGAAGCAGUAGGGAAUCUUCGGCAAUGGACGAAAGUCUGACCGAGCAACGCCGCGUGAGUGAAGAAGGUUUUCGGAUCGUAAAACUCUGUUGUUAGAGAAGCGGUAUCUAACCAGAAAGCCACGGCUAACUACGUGCCAGCAGCCGCGGUAAUAC
rnacentral:rRNA from 1 species